rnacentral:lncRNA from 1 species
AAAUAUUGAUUUGUUGUAGUGUAUUUACUUUUGGGACUACGGGUUCAAUUCCGGAGAGAUCACUGUUAUUGGUAUGUUGGACUACGGGUUCGAUUCCCAGGAGAUCCACUGAUAUUGACAUGAUGGACUACGGGUUCAAUUCCCGGGACAUCCUCUGACAUUGAUAUGUUGGACUACGAGUUCAAUUCCAGGGAGAUCCUCUGAUGUUGAUAUGAUGGACUGCGUGUUCGAUUCCCGGAGAUCCUAUAUUAUUGGUAUGAAGGACUGCGGGUUCAAUUUCUGGAGAUCCUCUGUUAUUGAUAUGAUGGACUGCGGGUUCGAUUCUCGUAAGAUCCUCCGAUAUUGGUAUAAAUGGAUUGCGGGUUCAAUUCUCGGAGCUCCAUGUGAAAUUCCUGACUUUGAGUGAUUUUUCUUGGGUUCUUAGUUAGUACUUGCAUCCGUUCUUCUUUAAUUACUGUCUUGCUAGAUAUUCGGGAUUUACUUCAUUAUCUACUAUUUAAUUAUUUAUUCUUACAUUAUUUCUUAUGUUCGUAUCAGUAGGUCAUCCAUCUUCCUUGUCACUACUCCAUCGAGGUUAGGCUUGGCACUUACUGAGUACCGGUGUGGUAUACUCAUGCUACUCUUCU